rnacentral:lncRNA from 1 species
AUGGGUGCUAUGGGGCGGGCGCUGCUGUGGGGUGGGCGCUGUAGGGUAGGUGCUAUGGGGUGGGUGCUGCUGUGGGGCCGGUGCCGCUUCCCAGCCCUCGCUGCCCCAUAGCGCCGUGGGGCUGAGGGGGGGUCGGCGUCCCUGGGGCGCUGUGUGGGGUGGGGGAAGUUGUGGGGCUGCGCUGUGUGCUGUGGGGCUGCCGUGCCUACAGGGUGUGUUGUACCCUAUAGGGCUGCUGUGCCCUAUGGGGCUGGUAGACCCUAUAGGGCUGUGUUGUAUCCUAUGGGGCCGUUAUGUCCUAUAAAGCUGUUGUACCCCAUAGGGCUGUUGUAUCCUAUAUGGCUGUUAAAUCCUAUAGGGCUGCUGUACAUUAUAAAGCUGUGUUGUAUCCUAUAGGGCCGUUAUGUCCUAUAAAGCUGUUGUACCCUAUAGGGCUGUUAUGCCCUAUAGAACUGCUGCACCCUAUGGGGCCGCGCGCUUUGGGGCCGUGCCACCCCCUGUGGGGCCGCUCUGUGCCCUAUGGGGCUGUGCCAAAAUCAGUGGGGCUGUGCUCUAUAGGGCCGCACUGCCGCGUAUGGGGCCGUGUCAACAUAUGGGGCUGCAUGUUAUGGGGCCGUGUCAUACUCUAUGGGGCAGUGUGCUAUGGGGCCGUGCAAACCCUAUAGGGUGGUGCCGCACCCUAUGGGCAGUGCUGUCGUUAUGGGGCAACAUCACACCCUAUGGGGCUGUGCCAUCUCUGUAGGGCCAUGCUGUCCCUAUGGGGCCGUACCACACCCUAUGGGGCCGUGCUGUCGCUAUAGGGCCGUGCUUUCUCUAUGGGGCCGUGCUGUUGCUAUGGGGCUAUGCUGCACAAUAUAUGGCCGUGCUGUCGCUAUGGGGCAGUGCUUUCUCUUUGGGGCCGUGCCGCACCCUAUAGGGCUGUGCUGUCGCUAUGGGGCCGUGUUGUCCCUAUAGGGCCGUGUUGUCCCUAUAGGGCUGUGCUGUCGCUAUGGGGCCGUGCUGUCGCUAUGGGGCCGUGCCGCACCCUAUGGGGCCGCGGUGCGGAGGCGGCCGUGGGGCUGCGGUCGCUCCGCCCCAUAGCGCGGGCAGCGCCACGUGGCCCCAAUGGCCCCAGUGCCCCCCCAUCCCUGUGCCCUCAUCCCAGUUCCUCCCAGUGCCCCCCCAUCCCGCUGCCCCCCCCAUCCCAGUGCCGCCCCGCCCCAUUUUUCCUCCCAAUUCCCAGUGCCCCCCCAUCCC